AAAAAGGAAGGAAAAUAAGGUAAAAGGCAAGUGAUCUUAGGCAAUCUGCCCAUGUAAGCACAAAAUGGAGAAAACCAAAGGCAUUUUCAAGGCUCGGCCUUGAGAAAUCCAUCCACUACCAAGAAGAAAAGAGAAAGGAGAAGAAAGAAAGAAGAGAAAGGAAGAAUGAGAUCUUCAUUUUUCAUGACAUGCAUACUUAGUGAACUAGAGGCAAGCAAGAACCCACAAGGAUUCAAAGGACCCGAGGCAUGCAUGCAAGUCGAUCUUAGAAUCCAUGGUGAUUUUAGAGCUAAAUGAGUAAUGGCAAAGGUAAUCUUAGAAGUGAAGAAGCUGUGAAUUACAUUUGGGAAAUUCAAUAUUAAACCGAGAGAUGAGUGAUUAGCUCAGGUGCAUUGCUCAGCACAUCGAGACUUGCUGCAAUGUAGGUAAUGGCAUCUCUUAGACUCCCACUCCGAGUCACUCCACUGCCUAGAGGUCAUACUGUGUCGAGUAGUCAGACUCAUAAUGAUUACUAGUUGUGGAAAUGUAUUUGUUAAACACUUGAUGUUGUGUAAUGAUUGUCACUUAUUAAGUUGAAUAUGUUGUGUGGUUAUUAAACCGGAUUAUUGGUAUCUAAAUGUCGUGAUUUAA